rnacentral:rRNA from 1 species
AUACGUAGGGGGCGAGCGUUGUCCGGAAUGAUUGGGCGUAAAGGGCGCGUAGGCGGCGCGGUAAGUCUGGAGUGAAAGUCCUGCUUUCAAGGUGGGAAUUGCUUUGGAUACUGCCGCGCUUGAGUGCAGGAGAGGUUAUCGGAAUUCCCGGUGUAGCGGUGAAAUGCGUAGAGAUCGGGAGGAACACCAGUGGCGAAGGCGGGUAACUGGACUGCAACUGACGCUGAGGCGCGAAAGUGUGGGGAGCAAACAGGAUUAGAUACCCUGGUAGUCCACACUGUAAACGAUGAAUGCUAGGUGUAAGAGGUAUCGACCCCUUUUGUGCCGGAGUCAACACAAGAAGCAUUCCGCCUGGGGAGUACGGCCGCAAGGUUGAAACUCAAAUGAAUUGACGGGG